AAUCAACGCUGGCGGCGUGCCUAACACAUGCAAGUCGAACGCGAAAGCCCCUUCGGGGGCAAGUAGAGUGGCGUCCGGGUGAGUAACACGUGGGUAAUCUACCUCCGGGUGGGGAAUAACUCGCCGAAAGGUGGGCUAAUACCGCAUAAUGCAGCGGCACCGAAUGGUGAUUAGUUGUUAAAGCGGGGGACCUUAGGGCCUCGCGUCUGGAGAGGAGCCUGCGGCAGAUUAGCUUGUUGGAGGGUAAUGGCCUACCAAGGCUGCGAUCUGUAGCUGGUCUGAGAGGACGGCCAGCCACACUGGCACUGACACACGGGCCAGACUCCUACGGGAGGCAGCAGUGGGGAAUUUUGGGCAAUGGGCGAAAGCCUGACCCAGCAACGCCGCGUGAAGGAGGAAAUCCUUCGGGAUGUAAACUUCACAAGCAAGGGAAGAGCGCGCAGGGUCGAAUAAACUCUGCGUCCGACGGUACCUUGCGUAAGCCACGGCUAACUACGUGCCAGCAGCC
rnacentral:rRNA from 1 species